rnacentral:lncRNA from 1 species
AGAAAGAACUACUGGUUUGAAGUGGUUUCACUAUGACAGUACACACGCUGCAGUCGAAGUAGAAUUGUUGCCUCAGACUAAGAAGCUGUUCAGGGAGAGGGGGAGUGCGCAUGUAUCUCUCGCCAAAGAGCCUUCAGAGGGGUGGGAGGACAUGGGAGAGUGGGUGUCUAAGGGAAAGAGAAUUACAGAUUGGAUUGAUGUGACGGGGGGAGACCAGCACAGUCCCUCCACUGAUCGUUACCGUAGGAAGCUGAAUUGGAGAGCCAAUAGUAUUCCUGGGGUACAUUUGAGCGACCAUUGGGGGGAAAUGAGAAAAGAUGUAUCUGCUGACUGAGGGACAAGAGGAGGAAUUAAUUAUAAGGAGCAGAUAGUCUUAUGCUAUCACUCUCUUAGGAAUCAGAAGGAGAAAGUGGAGAAACUAAAAGCAGCUCAGCUGAAGUGAAGGAAGUCACCAGCUUCAGCUGGAAUGGCAUUUUGUUGUGUGAUCUGAGAUGGAAAUAAGAUGGUGUAUGGUGUAAUCAUAGAACAGAGGCCAUAAGUCUUUGAGUUUGAAAACCUCAUGGAAACAGCCUGAACCAGGACCAGAGGUUCCACGUCCGGUGAUCCCAGGGGACCAGGACUACAUCCGAGUGUUCCGGAGGAAGUGGAACAAGCCAAGGCGAGAGGGUCCCUAUGGAGUGGUCCUAGCAACCCCAACAGUCAUCCAGGUGAAAGGAAGCAACAUCUGGUACCAUCUAAACCACUGCACCAGAGUCCCGGCAGGGAGAAGGAGGCAACCACCGAGCCAUGAGAAUGCUGAUAAACCAAGAUGUCAAUGAGCCAGGAAGAAGCCGGAUCAAGGAGAGAGGCGGAUCAAGAGAGGCGGAUCAAGGAGCGUAUUCUAACAGCCAACAGAUGCUCUCUCCUGAAUAUCCAGAGAGUCCAGGGAUGGGGAGAAGUGACAUGCCGGUUGCUCCUGAUGACAUACCUACUCUGGCAGAUACCACUGACAGAGGCGCUGUCCGAGGGGACGGAGAAACAACAACAGGAGAAUAGGAAGGAGACUUUCUUACCAUCGACUUCUCUGCCCUCACAUGGUCUUUCUAACAGAGUGAAAACCAUGACAGAUGAAGAAUGGUAGAAUGGCCUUGACAGCAACAGCGACAAACCUAGAAGAAAUUGUAAAAUCACUUCCCACGUGCACUAGUACACUAACUAAGACAAUGGCAAAACCACAAGAAAGUGGGUUGAUGCAGAAAUUCUGGACAUCUGUUAGCAACUGGUGUAGCCACAAUGAAGAAACUACCCCAGAAUCAAACAUUGACCAAAAAUUUAGAACAACAAUAACAAAUGGCUGGCAUAAGUGGGCUCAGUGGGGCCAGCCAAAAAGUAUACACAUAGUCUAAUAAAGUAUAACCAUGUACUCAAUGUAACAGUUGCUGAAUGAUAAAUGAUGUUAGACC